rnacentral:sRNA from 1 species
AUAUCUCUCUGUACGGGAAGGAUGAGAAGCUUCGACCAAGGUUCGAUUCGAGCGCAGCGAGAAAGCGUUGCCGCAGGCAA